GACGUAGGGGGCCAGCGUUGUUCGGAAUUACUGGGUGUAAAGGGUUCGUAGGCGGUGUGGCAAGUCGGGAGUGAAAUCUCUGGGCUCAACUCAGAGACUGCUUCCGAAACUGCUGUGCUGGAGUGUGGGAGAGGCGCGUGGAAUUGCAGGUGUAGCGGUGAAAUGCGUAGAUAUCGGGAGGAACACCAGUGGCGCAAGCGGCGAACUGGCCGAGACCUGACGCUGAGACGCGACGGCGUGGGGAGCAAACCGG
rnacentral:rRNA from 1 species